rnacentral:tRNA from 1 species
CAAAUUAAAGCUUUAAAAAGCAUUUUAGUUACAUUAAAAAGUUAAUUGUUAAGUCAAUUUAAUUUGA